UUAGUGAAGAAGGAAGCAAUUGCAAAAUGGCAGAAGUUGAUGUUUAUAAAUUCUUUCUCGAUUUCUUGCAGGAUUCCAAUGCUUUCCAAGGGACGCAUGCCAUUAACACCUUGUGCGUGUUGCAAAAAUUCAUAACUGGAUGCGAGCAACUUCCACCAUUAGGAUUACCAAAAGCCAUAAAGGUUAAAUUGAAGCAUGGAUGUACAGAAGGUUGCAUGUGUCGGCCAACUGCUUCAACUUGUGAUCUAACAAUUACAUAGCUUGUUCAUUAUAGAGAUAGUUACAACCAACUAAAAGAGGCAAUUGACUCUGCACUUAUCGAAGGAAAAAGAAUUGGUUUCAUUUAAUAACGAUAAUUGUAUUUUAUCAUUUACGGGGGAAUAGCAACCAACCAAAAUUCAUAAUUUUUUAAUGGUAACAACUGCAUUAUUAGUUAUUAGUUAAGUUCAUAUUUAAUUGUUUUCUUAAAAAACGUUAGGUAACAAUGAAUCCAAUUUGAAGCAUGUUAUUAAUCUUUCAUAUUAGUACUCUAUAGCUCUUGUUACGAAAGAGCAAUGCAUUUUGGCAUAUGUAAUGAACAUUAAAUUUCAUCACUAAAUGAA